rnacentral:rRNA from 1 species
AGUGAACGCUGGCGGUAGGCCUAACACAUGCAAGUCGAACGGCAGCACAGUAAUAGCUUGCUCUUACGGGUGGCGAGUGGCGGACGGGUGAGGAAUACAUCGGAAUCUACUUUUUCGUGGGGGAUAACGUAGGGAAACUUACGCUAAUACCGCAUACGACCUACGGGUGAAAGCAGUGGAUCUUCGGACCUUGCGCGAUUGAAUGAGCCGAUGUCGGAUUAGCUAGUUGGCGGGGUAAAGGCCCACCAAGGCGACGAUCCGUAGCUGGUCUGAGAGGAUGAUCAGCCACACUGGAAGUGGAACAAGGUCAAGAGGCCUACGGGAGGGAGCAGUGGGGAAUAUGGGACAAUGGGGGCAAGCCUGACACAGCCAUCCCGCGUGGGUGAAGAAGGCCUUCGGGUUGUAAAGCCCUUUUGUUGGGAAAGAAAAGCAGCAGCUUAAUACCCAGCUGUUCUGACGGUACCCAAAGAAUAAGCACCGGCUAACUUCGUG